rnacentral:sRNA from 1 species
CGGCUCGGCCACUGCUGGGCGGACACCUGGGCGCGCCACCGCGGGAGGAGCCCGGACUCGGGCCGAGGCUGCCCGGACAAUGCGUUCACUCGGCGCAAACAUGGCUGCGGCCCUGCGCGCCGCGGGCGUCCUGCUCCGCGAUCCGCGAAGCCGAAAACUGGAAUAUUAAUGCUAAACAUGGGAGGCCCUGAAACUCUCGGAGAUGUUCACGACUUCCUUCUGAGACUCUUCUUGGACCGGGACCUCAUGACGCUUCCUAUUCAGAAAAAACAUUUCUCAAGUUGCUAAGGUGGAAUAAAAUCCACUUACCUGUAUGUUAAAUGAUUUAGUAAGCUGGCACCAUUCAUCGCCAAACGCCGAACCCCCAAGAUUCAAGAGCAAUAUCGCAGGAUUGGAGGCGGAUCCCCCAUCAAGAUAUGGACUUCCAAGCAGGGAGAGGGCAUGGUGAAGCUGCUGGAUGAAUUGUCCCCCAACACAGCCCCUCACAAAUACUAUAUUGGAUUUCGGUACGU